rnacentral:rRNA from 1 species
UACGGAGGGUGCAAGCGUUAAUCGGAAUUACUGGGCGUAAAGCGCACGCAGGCGGUUUGUUAAGUCAGAUGUGAAAUCCCCGGGCUCAACCUGGGAACUGCAUUUGAAACUGGCAAGCUUGAGUCUUGUAGAGGGGGGUAGAAUUCCAGGUGUAGCGGUGAAAUGCGUAGAGAUCUGGAGGAAUACCGGUGGCGAAGGCGGCAUCCUGGACCGAGAUUGACACUGAUGAGCGAAAGCCAGGGGAGCAAACGGG